CUUUACCAAUUUCAUCCAAACCCUAGUUUCUCUUUAUCCUCCCCAAUCGUCUCCAUCUCUAUUCCCGGUCUCAACUCUGAACUUGCCCCCCUCUCUCUCUGCAACUCCCUAGUCGCCUCCAUCUCUCUCUCUCUGUAACUCCCCAAUUGCUUCAAUCUCUAUUCUCGGUCUCAACUCUGAACUUGCGCCCCCCUUCUCUCUCUGCAACUCCCCAAUCGUGAUGACACGUGCCCCUCCUCCUCAACCAUCCCUCUCUCUCAGCAAUUUUGCCUCCAAUCGUAAACAUAUACGGACCCCAGCUGGCUCGAAACCGGUCCGAGUACAUAAACGUCGGCCUAUACUUGUUCGCCACCAUUGUUCUUCUCUGUGGCUUCAUUGAUCGCUUCGUUGCUAAGAAAAUCUCUACAAAUCAUUUGAUUCACUUUAUGUAAUGGCCUCCGAGCUUGAUAUCAAUGGCGAUUUGGCAUCUUCGGCUCGAAUCUCCUCAAAAACCUCCCCCAACUCUCCCCUGACCAGGUUGAGGUUGCGAAGUUGCUGUUGGAGGUCAGACAGAGCCAUCUGUUCUAGCAUUGGCCUGAGCCUGGCGUCGAUGAUGAUGAGAAGCUAGUUUUCUUUGAUCAGGUUGCUCGACUUAAUGCAAACUAUCCUGGUGGGUUGGCAUCAUAUAUCAAAACUGCCAGAGAACUCCUAGCAGAUUCAAAGGUGGGGAAGAUCCCAUUUGAUGGUUUUACACCUUCUGGUUUUGAUUCUUUAAAUGCUCCUCCUAGAGUAUCCCCAAAUUCAUUUUCUAGUCGUGAUGCCAAUUCAGUUAAGGUUAUGAACUUUUAAUUUCUCUUAUAUGUUAAAUUUUCAUUUAUUAUAAUGUGCGCUUAAUGAAUUUAUAAAAAAUGUAGGGUAAUUCAAAUCAAAUGGGCAAGAAGAAGACUUGUUGAAGUUGAAGUUGAAGCUGAAGAUGGGGUCGUGGCUGUGCUUUCAGUCUUUUCCUUCGCCUUGGAUGGGUUCUUUUUGAAAAACUUGUACUACAUUUGUCAAAAAUACUUAAUUCUUUUUGUGUGACAUUUAGUAUCUUUAUCUAGACAAUUUGGAUGUAUUUUCAUAUUGGCAGGUUAACUUGUGGUUGUAUUAGUAUACAUUUUGGCUUUUUGGUUGGCAUUUACUAGCUUCAUCUAUUAGUAGCCAAUUUCGAUGGUAUUUUUCAUAUUGGCAGCAGGUUAACUUAUGGUUGUAUUAUGUAAAAAUAAUUUGGGUAGUAUUUUUAUAUUGACUGAUGUUAUAUUGGAUGAUUUUUUUUUUUCAAAAACAAUAAAGGGGGAGAAAAAAAAUAAAUAUAAAAUGACCCUUUACUAGCACUCUUUUAAGAAGCGCUGGCAUAGGGGGGGGAGGAAAAAAAAAAAUUUUAAAAAAACUAAAAUGACCCUUUACCAGCGCUUUUUGGAAAAGCGCUAGGAAAGGCCUUUUACCAGCGCUUUUUGGAAAAGCGCUGGGAAAAGCCUUUACCAGUGCUUUUUGGAAAAACGCUAGUAAAAGGCCUUUACCGGCGCUCCUAGAAAAGCGCUGGUAAAGGCCUACUGACACAGGCUUUACCAGCGCUUUUGGAAAAGCGCUGGUAAAGCGUUGGUAAUUGAAUUACCAGUACUUUUUAUGACUUUUACCAGCCAUUUUGAGUGUUGGUAAAAGCCAGAACUGUUGUAGUGACAUUUAUUUUGCAUUCUAUGUACUUUUAUUUCUAAGUGAUUUUGUUGAAAAAUAAAAAAUGCCAUGUUUUAAGGUCACUACAUUUGCAUGGGCGGUGGGAAGUGGGUUUUAACACUUCCAUAGGGUCUCUUCAAUCAUGCAUGAAGUUUGGCCAAGGGCCAAAUGGUCAUUUGAAACCAUUUUAUAAUUUUAAGUUUCAAAUUUCUCUUUAAAAGUCCAUUUUUGGCAUUUUUGAGGUUCGGAUAGGUCGUAUUUUGCAUCAGGCAUUUAUGGGACCCACGAACCAUUCUUGCAUUCUUAAAAUCACUAAAUACGUUUACAUGCAUAAU